CUAUGUGUUGUUGGGUAGGGGAGCGUUCUGUAAGCCUGUGAAGGUGUACUGUGAGGUAUGCUGGAGGUAUCAGAAGUGCGAAUGCUGACAUAAGUAACGAUAAAGCGGGUGAAAAGCCCGCUCGCCGGAAGACCAAGGGUUCCUGUCCAACGUUAAUCGGGGCAGGGUGAGUCGACCCCUAAGGCGAGGCCGAAAGGCGUAGUCGAUGGGAAACAGGUUAAUAUUCCUGUACUUGGUGUUACUGCGAAGGGGGGACGGAGAAGGCUAUGUUGGCCGGGCGACGGUUGUCCCGGUUUAAGCGUGUAGGCUGGUUUUCCAGGCAAAUCCGGAAAAUCAAGGCUGAGGCGUGAUGACGAGGCACUACGGUGCUGAAGCAACAAAUGCCCUGCUUCCAGGAAAAGCCUCUAAGCAUCAGGUAACAUCAAAUCGUACCCCAAACCGACACAGGUGGUCAGGUAGAGAAUACCAAGGCGCUUGAGAGAACUCGGGUGAAGGAACUAGGCAAAAUGGUGCCGUAACUUCGGGAGAAGGCACGCUGAUAUGUAGGUGAAGUCCCUCGCGGAUGGAGCUGAAAUCAGUCGAAGAUACCAGCUGGCUGCAACUGUUUAUUAAAAACACAGCACUGUGCAAACACGAAAGUGGACGUAUACGGUGUGACGCCUGCCCGGUGCCGGAAGGUUAAUUGAUGGGGUUAGCGCAAGCGAAGCUCUUGAUCGAAGCCCCGGUAAACGGCGGCCGUAACUAUAACGGUCCUAAGGUAGCGAAAUUCCUUGUCGGGUAAGUUCCGACCUGCACGAAUGGCGUAAUGAUGGCCAGGCUGUCUCCACCCGAGACUCAGUGAAAUUGAACUCGCUGUGAAGAUGCAGUGUACCCGCGGCAAGACGGAAAGACCCCGUGAACCUUUACUAUAGCUUGACACUGAACAUUGAGCCUUGAUGUGUAGGAUAGGUGGGAGGCUUUGAAGUGUGGACGCCAGUCUGCAUGGAGCCGACCUUGAAAUACCACCCUUUAAUGUUUGAUGUUCUAACGUUGACCCGUGAUCCGGGUUGCGGACAGUGUCUGGUGGGUAGUUUGACUGGGGCGGUCUCCUCCUAAAGAGUAACGGAGGAGCACGAAGGUUGGCUAAUCCUGGUCGGACAUCAGGAGGUUAGUGCAAUGGCAUAAGCCAGCUUGACUGCGAGCGUGACGGCGCGAGCAGGUGCGAAAGCAGGUCAUAGUGAUCCGGUGGUUCUGAAUGGAAGGGCCAUCGCUCAACGGAUAAAAGGUACUCCGGGGAUAACAGGCUGAUACCGCCCAAGAGUUCAUAUCGACGGCGGUGUUUGGCACCUCGAUGUCGGCUCAUCACAUCCUGGGGCUGAAGUAGGUCCCAAGGGUAUGGCUGUUCGCCAUUUAAAGUGGUACGCGAGCUGGGUUUAGAACGUCGUGAGACAGUUCGGUCCCUAUCUGCCGUGGGCGCUGGAGAACUGAGGGGGGCUGCUCCUAGUACGAGAGGACCGGAGUGGACGCAUCACUGGUGUUCGGGUUGUCAUGCCAAUGGCACUGCCCGGUAGCUAAAUGCGGAAGAGAUAAGUGCUGAAAGCAUCUAAGCACGAAACUUGCCCCGAGAUGAGUUCUCCCUGACUCCU
rnacentral:rRNA from 1 species